UACGUAGGGUGCGAGCGUUAAUCGGAAUUACUGGGCGUAAAGCGUGCGCAGGCGGUUCGUUGUGUCGGCGGUGAAAGCCCCGGGCUCAACCUGGGAAUGGCCGUUGAAACUGGCGAACUGGAGUGUGGCAGAGGGGGGUGGAAUUCCGCGUGUAGCAGUGAAAUGCGUAGAGAUGCGGAGGAACACCGAUGGCGAAGGCAGCCCCCUGGGCUAACACUGACGCUCAGGCACGAAAGCAUGGGGAGCGAACGGG
rnacentral:rRNA from 1 species